rnacentral:rRNA from 1 species
CCCUUAGAUGUCCGGGGCCGCACGCGAGCUACACUGAAGGAAUCAGCGUGGCUUUCUCCCUGACCAGAAAGGGUUGGGAAACCCGUUGAAUCUCCUUCGUGAUAGGGAUUGGGGCUUGAAAUUGUUCCCCAUGAACGAGGAAUUCCCAGUAAGCGCGAGUCAUAAGCUCGCGUUGAUUACGUCCCUGCCCUUUGUACACACCGCCCGUCGCUACUACCGAUUGAACGGUUUAGUGAGGGCCUCGGAUUGGUCUCGGCCCGCUCUUUACCGGGCGGCGCCGUUGGUCGAGAAGACGCUCGAACUUGAUCGUUUAGAGGAAGUAAAAGUCGUAACA